rnacentral:rRNA from 1 species
GACGAACGCUGGCGGCGUGCCUAAUACAUGCAAGUAGAACGCUGAAGGAGGAGCUUGCUUCUCUGGAUGAGUUGCGAACGGGUGAGUAACGCGUAGGUAACCUGCCUGGUAGCGGGGGAUAACUAUUGGAAACGAUAGCUAAUACCGCAUAAUAGUAGAUGUUGCAUGACAUUUGCUUAAAAGGUGCAAUUGCAUCCCUACCAGAUGGACCUGCGUUGUAUUAGCUAGUUGGUGAGGUAACGGCUCACCAAGGCGACGAUACAUAGCCGACCUGAGAGGGUGAUCGGCCACACUGGGACUGAGACACGGCCCAGACCCCUACGGGAGGCAGCAGUAGGGAAUCUUCGGCAAUGGACGGAAGUCUGACCGAGCAACGCCGCGUGAGUGAAGAAGGGUUUCGGAUCGUAAAGCUCUGUUGUAAGAGAAGAACGAGUGUGAGAGUGGAAAGUUCACACUGUGACGGUAUCUUACCAGAAAGGGACGGCUAACUACGUG